GUUCUAUGGCAGUUACACACACGUAGUGGUGUUCACGAGCGGUUUUGUGGACUCAAAGGUUUUCUCCCUGAGAGGCAUAACCCAGGCCAGCUGAUUCAUCAGAAUCAGGAAACUGGGCAUCUCUGUGGCCCUGAACAUCCCAGGAGGCCGAUCGUACAGAGACCUCUGGUGCCUGACCGCAGUUCACAUCCACAUCCCUGGAAUAGACCAUCACAGGCUCUUCACCCUUGGCAGGUGGACACCAUUCAACCUGCCGGGGCAGGAUGGACAUGGUAGAGAACGCGGAUAGUUUGCAGGCACAGGAGCGGAAGGACAUACUUAUGAAGUAUGACAAGGGACACCGAGCUGGAAUGCCAGAGGACAAGGGGCCUGAGCCCGUUGGAAUUUACAGCAGCGUUGAUCGUUUUGGCAUUCUGCAGUCCCGCCCCUCCUGGGAGUCAGUGCCACAGGAAGGCCCUUGUCCUCCCUUCCCUGUGCCUUCUCCCGGGCUGAGCCCUGAGCUGGAUAGAGACAGAGCCAGUCCUUUCUGGGGGUCGGCUCCCAGGCUUGGGCGGCUCAGGCCCUGUGCACGUCCUCAGCUCUGCCUGGGUUGCCUUACAGUGAGACGGAGCUGCCUCCUGUGACUGCACGGGAGGCGAAGAAAAUUCGGCGGGAGAUGACACGAACGAGCAAGUGGAUGGAAAUGCUGGGAGAAUGGGAGACAUAUAAGCACAGUAGCAAACUCAUAGAUCGAGUGUACAAGGGAAUUCCCAUGAACAUCCGGGGCCCGAUGUGGUCAGUCCUCCUGAACAUUCAGGAAAUCAAGUUGAAAAACCCCGGAAGAUACCAGAUCAUGAAGGAGAGGGGCAAGAGGUCAUCUGAACACAUCCACCACAUCGACCUGGACGUGAGGAGGACUCUCCGGAACCAUGUCUUCUUUAGGGAUCGAUAUGGAGCCAAGUAAGCCUACGGGAGCCACACGGUCCCAGCAGAGAUGGGGUGAACGAGAGGGAUGGGGACUUCCCUGGAGCAGAAGCCAGGGUCACCCAGGAGGGAUGACAGAGCUGCCAAGAGCUCUCCUGGCCCAGGGAGCAGCCGGCACCAUGAACCGAGCACCUCCCUGGUUCCAAGCCCUGGGCCAGGCUGGAACAUGUGGGGCCAGAACCCAGGAGGAUCCUGAGGAGACAGAAAACAGCAAAGAAAAUCACGCGCAAUGGUGAAAGGUGCUCUCCCUGACCCACGGAGACCCAUGGUAGGACCCACGGGAGGGUGGCAGGAUGGAGGGCCCAUGAGCCUCCCCAGGCAACACAGCACCAAAUGCUGGGAGAAUUAGGGGUCCUGGAAACUGUCAUCCAGGUCUGCUGGGAACAUGACAUGGCACAGCCACAUUGGCAGCCAGUUGGGCAGUGGCUCACAAAGCUCAAUGGACUUGAACCACGCAUCCCCAUGAUGUCACAGAUAUUGAACCCACUGAUUUGAAAACUGACAUCCACAUGAAACCUGCAUGCCAGGUUCACUGCUUGAUUCCUCGUCACUCACACAUGGAGCCUUCGGGGAUGGCCUUCAACACGGGAAUGGGGAGAGACAGGCUGGUCCUCCCUUCAAACGGAAGACCCAGUGAGAAAAGGGAACGAGCCAGUGAUGCCUGCACGAACGUGGGUGGAUCCUAGAUGCAUUUUGCCAAGGGAAAGAAGCCAGACCCAAUAAGCUACCAUAGUAGGAUUCCCAUUCCUAGGCCAUUCUGGAAAAGGCCAAACCAUAGGGACUGAGCAGCAGUCUGGGUGGCCAGGGGCUGACGGAUCGGGGAGAGGCUGGGUGCAUAGGGGAAACCCUGGAGAUUUGGAAGAUGAUGGAGUCGCUCCAGGAGGGGCUGGAGCGGUGGCCGGGAGACUGCACAUUGGUUUGGAACCAUGGAGGAACUGUACACCCAAAGACUGAACUGGUGUGUGUGCAAACUGAAAGAAAAAAAACAA
rnacentral:sRNA from 1 species